rnacentral:rRNA from 1 species
GACGAACGCUGGCGGCGUGCCUAACACAUGCAAGUCGAACGAGGUCCAUCCUUCGGGAGAAGACCUAGUGGCGAACGGGUGAGUAACACGUGAGGAACCUGCCCCGAAGACCGGGAUAACCCUCCGAAAGGAGAGCUAAUACCGGAUACCCCCACCGAACCGCAUGGUUUGGUGAGGAAAUGGAUUCCGCUUCGGGAGGGCCUCGCGGCCUAUCAGCUAGUUGGUGGGGUAACGGCCCACCAAGGCAUCGACGGGUAGCUGGUCUGAGAGGACGAUCAGCCACACUGGGACUGAGACACGGCCCAGACUCCUACGGGAGGCAGCAGUGGGGGAAUCUUGCGCAAUGGGCGAAAGCCUGACGCAGCAACGCCGCGUGGGGGAUGAA